rnacentral:tRNA from 1 species
GGGGCUAUUUCCAUAGUAGAACACGUGCUUAGCAUGCACGAGGUCCUGGGUUCAAUCCCCAGUACCUCCG